rnacentral:rRNA from 1 species
GACGAACGCUGGCGGCGUGCUUAACACAUGCAAGUCGAACGGUGAAAGCGGAGCUUGCUCCGCUGGAUCAGUGGCGAACGGGUGAGUAACACGUGGGCAACCUGCCCCUCACUUCGGGAUAACUCCGGGAAACCGGGGCUAAUACCGGAUAUGACCUCCUUGGGCAUCCUUGGAGGUGGAAAGUUUUUCGGUGAGGGAUGGGCCCGCGGCCUAUGAGCUUGUUGGUGAGGUAGCGGCUCACCAAGGCGACGACGGGUAGCCGGCCUGAGAGGGCGACCGGCCACACUGGGACUGAGACACGGCCCAGACUCCUACGGGAGGCAGCAGUGGGGAAUAUUGCACAAUGGGCGCAAGCCUGAUGCAGCGACGCCGCGUGAGGGAUGAAGGUCUUCGGAUUGUAAACCUCUUUCAGUAGGGACGAAGCGAAAGUGACGGUACCUGAAGAAUAAGCACCGGCUAACUACGUGCCAGCCGCCGCCUAA